rnacentral:SRP_RNA from 1 species
CCGAGUAAUGACAUAAGGUAUCAUUUGGCGGUCGUCCUGAGAGGAUGUUGAUCUUUGGGUCCCUCGUAAUGGGCACCUGCGAAUCGUGUCAGGGCAGGAAUGCAGCAGCACUAAGUAGGACCGUUCAUCUGACGAGGGGUCACCUGGAGGGAGUUUUCCCAGGGCGGCUACCAAAUGAUACCGAUGUAGUUAACUCGG